GGCCUCAUCGUCUAGUGGUUAGGACGUCAGGUUUUCAUCCUGGAAAUCGGGGUUCGACUCCCCGUGGGGCUACCA
rnacentral:tRNA from 1 species